UCCCUUUAAAAGAAAAUCAAAGUACAUUUUUAUUUUAUUCUUUUUUUUGGCCUAUUUUUAUUAAAUUUAAAUCUAUUUUAUUAGACUUUAUUUUAACUUAUACUUGCGUUUUUUUAUCUUGAUAUUUACUCUAUAUACAUAUAGAACAUUUAGAUUUUCUACUUAUAACAUUGCUGACAUUUAUGUUGUUUGAAUUACACCACAGUGUAGCUUAAUAACAUAACUUAAUGAUGACCAAUUAACUAGAGUGCCACAUUUUUUAAAUAACCUAACCAAGUAACUUCAUCCUUACCAUACAGGGAGCAGAAAUGUGAAUCCCAACAGAUUCCUCUUUUUCCAGGAGCUCCUUUCCCAACUGAGUGGCUCAACUACCUGCUUAUUCAACUGAAGGCAUGCAUGGUCACAGCAAUUAAAUUGUCAGAAUUAACAAAUUUGUUUUUAACGGGAGUGUAGCCAGCAGUGUGGUCAUGAGGCGUGUAUUGAUUACCAGAACAGAGACAUUAGUCUUCAGGUAUUUACUCUGCCACCUCUGCUACACGGGCCCCAUACCAGACCGAAUCAAUCCCUAGAAAAGAUGGUUCUUUCCAGCCAUAAAUACAUAGCCGCCUACUCAAGUAUACUGGCAGCCACACACUUUCCUGUGGAAGUCAACUUGGCACAGUAUGAAUGACAACAGUUUCUUCCUUCGUUAACACAGACAGCAACAUUUUCUCAACAUUUUAACAGAACACAAAGUUCAAAUUCUCUCGAGAAAUGAAAUGAAACAUGCAACUUUCUAAUUUUAGGAUCAGGCAUGAAAUUUGACAAGUAGCCAGUAAAUGAGGGCCCAAUCGUAUCUUAAAUAUUUUCUUAGAGAGUGAGACAGUGUUUUUCCCUCUGCAUCUGAUGAAUAUAAUUACAGCCAGAUAUGACCUUUGUGCUCUGUGUGAAAACUUAGUCCUGCAUUCUCCUCUUGAGCAGCACUUCCGUAACAAAUGUCGGGUCGACUAAAACAAGACGAAAGGUUACAUCAGAAAAUGAAUGCCGUCAGCCCUCAAUGUCAGAGAGUUAUUUUAAUGAUAUAUUCCCAUAGUUUAGUCAAGCAGUAUUCCCUUACAAGGUUGCCAUUCAGCAACUGGCUGCUGGCUAUUUUUACAUAAAUUUAACUCGAGGAUAAAAUAUUUUGUUGCGUGAAUUUGUCUUCUGCCAGAGAUGAAUAAAUGCACAUCAGCUUAAAUUAUUCUGAAUAAAACUAACUAGCAGAGCAAAUAGCAGUCUACAGGGGACCCUCAACUCAUUUCCCUCUGCUACAAAAUGCUAGUUACAAAGAAUAAGUGAAAUGUCUGAGCACUGUUUUGACUUAGCUAAAAGGAAACAUUAAGAACCUAAAUGGAAAGGUGAAUUCAGAGGCAUAGAGCAGAAGGAGAGCGAAUUGCUGGACCUCAGGGUCCCUGCAUAGCUGCAGCUCCACUGAAGCCAUUAUUGCAGACCAAGAGUCCCCCAGGAUCCUGAGGUCCCCAGCAUUUAUUGCUGGUAGAUCAUAUUCUUAUUGACUCCUGUCACAUCUGCCAUUAGUCUUUGGAGAAGAUGACACAUAGAAGGGGACACUCACAGGCGACAGAGAGGACGCUUUAGUUCCUGGAUAAAGCCAUUUUCUGUGCAGGAUAAUUCAGCUUGAUGGUUAAUGUAGACCCACUGUGACAAUGAUUGCAAAACCUGGUGUGUGCUGAACAUCUGCAGACCUGAGGGAUUAUAUGCACUUGAGAAGAGAAAUGCAACUCCUGGUGUUAAUGCUGGCCUGGGAUAUUUAGAUAUUCUGCUCUUAUGAGACUGCUGGAAAAAUAUUCCCCACAGGAAAAAUAAAACACGUAAAAAGAAAAUCAAUGACUGAUUACACUCAAUGUAAACAAAAAGUAAACUUUGUUUUAAUAACAAUUCCUACCAUCAGUACUAUUACAAAUUUCAGCCAUAAUACAGUUCUGCAAAACUGUAUUUAACAGAAGGUUAAAUUAAAAGUAGCCCUUGUUUUUUGGGAAAAAAUUAAUAGUAAAGUUUGUUUAUAUGAGGAAUGAUUGCAACUUAAUACAUUUAGGCAAUACAAGACCAAGAUAACACUAUUUUAAAUAAAAUGCACAUUCAUCCCCUGGUAUGAAUAGUCUUAAAACAUUCAUUUUUUAUUGUGGUAGCAUAAUCCAAAACAAUACCAAUUAUUUUUCACCUCCCCCUUACUGUAAGCGUUGGUGAGAUAAAGCUGGGUCCUCGUCUGGCCUUGUUGGCUUUCAUUUUGGUUUUUACUUUUCAAAGCUUUCAAUCAAAUAAAUGUAUCAACAACCUCGUCCUUACUGGCUGUGACAAGGGCACUGUUUCUGUUCUAGCUCUGAUAGAUUUUAGUGAUUCCUUCAACAGUGUUGACGACAAGAUCCCUUAACAAAGACUUGAACACUUCAUUGGGAUUAGAGGGACUGCUUUGAACUGGUUUAAGUUGUAUUCAGCCGAUAGAUUUCAGUCUGUGCAUGUAAAUAUUGAAUCCUCUGUUCAUUCCCAACUCAUGGAAGGUGCUCCACAAGGUACUAGACUUGGAUCUAUUAUGUUUCUUCUUUAUAUGACUCCCUAAGAAAAUAUUAGAAAAACCAUGACAAACAUAUUUAUUGUUACACUGAUAGGGUUGCAAAAGUCUGGGAAUUUUAAAGUUGGAAAGAAUUCUGGAAUUUUUAAAAUACAGAAGGUCGGCCCUUAAGGAUUUUAAAUAUAGCUGGCAAAAUACAUCACAGUAUAAUCUUGACUAAAACCAGGGUUCUUCAUUCACAGGCACAUAAUAGACUCCUUGCUGUUUGGGUAUUGAGGCCACACCACCUACACAUGCACUGUGAACUCCUCCAUCGCACAAACUGAUUUCUAGAACCCUGAACGCCUGAGACCAGAAAGACUACUAAAGCUGCACAGGAACCCUCUUCAAAAAGAUUCACCGUAUGCAUGCUGGGACACCGAGUCACUGUAGCCCUGCUCUUCACAAUGACUUGAUCUCCAACUCUGAGUGGGUCCUGACCUUCUGGCAUGAUGAACUGGGAAACGGCAAACUGAGCAGACUACGGAAGAAAGACGACUAACUCUCCUACAAGCUCUCGUCAGCAGCAUCCUGGCUUCCUGUGUAACAGAGGAACAUCCAAAUCGGGACACUGUUGAGGCAGAUUGAAAGGAUCAUGUCCUGCCGAUGACCCAGCUGGCUCCAAGCUUCAGUUGUUGGACAGAUGCUCUACUCAACAAUACGCUGGUAUACAGAUGAGUUCUUGGUCAGCUGGGUGAUAAGGUAACCAGAUCCUUUGGCUGUAAAAA